GGAGAGAGUGUGAACCUGGGUGCCGUUACUUCUGUUGACCGCAAAAGGACUGCAAAAGGACUUCAAAAGAACCACAAACCAUCUGAAUGGUGUACGCCGCCUUCCGCCUGACUGUAGCUGCGAUAGGCACCAGCGCUCCCAGCGACCCCAAAGGGAAUAAGCGGCAGAAAAUGGAUGGAUGGAUAUAUCAAAAUGAGGGUGUGUGGGGAGGCGGAGCCGACAGGCCGACGGAGGGGCAGGACACGCUUUGGCCCUGCUCAAGAUGGCGGCCAGGAGGCGGAGAAUGCGGCAGAACAAGUGUAUAAAAGGGGAGAAGGAGGAAAGAUCAUGGCAGAAGGUGUAGGAGAACCAGCAACAGAACCUGAAGAGCGAGAAUGACCGAGAGCAACUGGAAGAUGCGGCCGACUGAAGGCGAGAGAGGAGCGAGCAGGAGAGGAGC